rnacentral:rRNA from 1 species
UACGGAGGGUGCGAGCGUUGUCCGGAUUUAUUGGGUUUAAAGGGUGCGUAGGUGGCUGUUUAAGUCAGUGGUGAAAUACGGUUGCUCAACAAUCGAGGUGCCAUUGAUACUGAAUAGCUUGAAAUAAUUGGAGGCUGCCGGAAUGGAUGGUGUAGCGGUGAAAUGCAUAGAUAUCAUCCAGAACACCGAUUGCGAAGGCAGGUGGCUACGAUUGGUUUUGACACUGAGGCACGAAAGCAUGGGGAGCAAACAGG